CAGCCGUAAACUAUGCUCGCUAGGUGUCAGGCACGGCGCGACCGUGUCUGGUGCCGCAGGGAAGCCGUGAAGCGAGCCACCUGGGAAGUACGGCCGCAAGGCUGAAACUUAAAGGAAUUGGCGGGGGAGCACAACAACGGGUGGAGCCUGCGGUUUAAUUGGACUCAACGCCGGACAACUCACCGGGGACGACAGCAAUAUGUAGGCCAGGCUGAAGACCUUGCCUGAAUCGCUGAGAGGAGGUGCAUGGCGUAGACGUCU
rnacentral:rRNA from 1 species